UAGAAGAGGAGAACAAGGGGGUUAGGGGGUUGGAAUAUAGCCCCAAGAAGCGACCAUAACUUUAUGAUUGCUUUUGUAUUGCCCGCUGCGUAUUGGGCCCAAAAACGCGACAUUGGGGCCGGGAGAUAAAAUCAACAGCUCCAGCUACCGCUACGGCUACAGUGGGAAAUGGCCAAUGAUGGACUCUUCCGGUUAAUCCGGGAAACACUUUUAUUUUGAAUAUUAUUUUAUUGGGACAUUUAUUGGGAUAUUUAUUGGAGAGCAUUACAAGUGUUCCAUUGGGAGGGGGAGUAUAAGAUGCACUGGCUGCACUUGCGCUCUUUUCCACACUGUCUCAGCCUCUGCUGGCAGCUGUACCUGCGCUCCCUUUCACACCUGCUCUCCCACCCAAUCAUAUUUUAACCUAUAAUAUGCGCUCUUAUACACUCCCACUCUGUCUCUGCCAGCGCUUUCAAGAUCAGACUCUGCUCCCGCUGCAACUGUGCUCCCUUUCACACCUGCUUUCCCACCCACUUGUAGCGAGAGCUGGCUGCACGUGCGCUCUCAUUUACCCCACUCUACCUCUGCCGGCUUUUAGAGAGAGAUGCGCUCGCUGCACCUGCUCUCCCACUCAUACCUGCUCUCCCACCUCUGCCUGCGCUUUCAGCUUAUUGGAGUUAUCCUCUCAUUUGGCGCAUCCUACCACGCUCGCCAUUCGCGCAAUGCUGCUCGUGCGCUCCGGUUUAAUAAAAAGUGAUCGCGGAAGUGUGUGUUCUAGUUUUUAAAUAAUUAUUUAAUUUGUGUUUCUAUUUUCUAGUGAUUUUAAAGACUAUUUAAGAUUGCUUUAAGGAUUUCUCUUCUAGCUCGCGUGUGUGUAAGUGCGUUUGUGUUUGGAGGAGAGACGCCGGCCAAGGAGUCCCCAACGCAAAGAACCGUUAACUGAAAACAGAAAAUAACAUGAGAAUGUGGAGAAAAGAAAAGAAAGAAAAUAAAUAUGUAAUUCAUCUAAUGGAAGUACAGUCAUAACGAUUACCGCAGAAAAUUGAGGCCAGCAGAAAAUCAAAGCCUAAAAUAAAAAUGGAAGGACUCACAACCAGCCUAGAUGACAUCUCGGAACAAAUGGAACAAUUUGGAAGCCCAAACUACAAAUGGAAAGACUGACAACCAGCCUGGACUACGUCUAGGAUCAAAUGGAACAAUUUGGAAGCCGGCGGGGACGAAGACAACUGACCCAAGAAGAUGCCACAAAAAUAAGGGCACUGACUAAAAAUGCUGACCAUGCCACAUGUGGCGGGUCCUUUUUUGAAAUUCCACGUCCACAACGCUUCACUUUUUGCCUCACGCCGUGAAUAUGUUUUCAAUGAAAGGAAAUAUUCGGAAUUAUGCUCCGUGCCAGAUUCAGAUUUGGCAAUUUUGAUACAGAAUGAUGGGAAAUUCUUCUACGAAGCAUUUGAGGUGCUCCACCACGGAAUCGAGCACCUUUUGACGGAGAUAUAGGCAUUGCUGGCCCUGAACUGAUACAUGAACUUAUCCAACUUAUACAUUUCUGGUGACAGGAUAGCCGGAUGCAGAACAACUAUUAUAAUGGAUCAACGCUUUAACCCCGUAAAAUCAUCCCUCACAAGGCAAGGAAAUCCUUACCUAUCGGCCGUCGAAUUUGCAAUCGGAGAACCAACGGGACCGCUGAUAGACUUGGAACAUUAUUUAGCGUUUAAGACAAUUUUAAGCAUAUCCCUCAAAAUUUCCCUGAUCUCCAAUACUUCGGAUAUACGCGUUUCAGACGAUUCUAAAAAUUUCCCUCAAAAUUUCCCUGAUCUCCAAUACUUCGGAUAUACGCGUUUCAGACGAUUCUAAUAAAAU
rnacentral:sRNA from 1 species